GGUUGUGGCUCAGUGGUAGAGCACUUGCCUUGUACAUGUGAGGCACUGGGUUUGAUCCUCAGCACCA
rnacentral:tRNA from 1 species